UUUAUAAGUACUGCUCUUACUAGACUAGUCUAGCUUCUGUACUCUGCGUAUGUGCAAUUGUAAAGAAAUCAAAUAUUACAGCUGGAAAAUGUGAGAUCAGCCUUGUCAGUGCCCCAGCCUCCUAUUUACCAUGAAAACAAACACAGCUCUCUUCUCAUGUCUGCCAGCAGGAAGGGGGUGGGGAGGCAGGGGAAAGUUUUUUUUGCCUUCGAAAAGGAAGAAGGUCAACUAUUUUGGGAAACUAAAACCACUCAGCAAGUAGAAGAAUUCUUUUCUCUCUGCUCAGUGAUUAGAGAAGUCUGCAGGCAAGCAGUAAUUGCUGCAAAUAGUAGAGCCGUGCAGAUGGACAUGAGGUAAAUGCAUCUUUUGGCCUUUGCAGAAACAUGUCUUUGCAGAAGAUGAAGUGGAUAACACAAUGUAUUUUCCUGCACCAACAGUUAAACUGUAAUAAAGAGUCUGUAAAGCUCUGCGCUGGAUAAGUCUGUUCUUCAGGUACAGUUAGUCAGAUGAUGAGCUGAAGGCAGGGAAUGCAUGACUGAUUUCCACCCGCUGCUUCUGAUGUCUCUGUGGGACUUGCUGUGUUUCUUACGGCUGCAUCCACCUAGGACAGAUAAAGAAAUAGAUAUGACUCACAAAUUCUUAAGAUGCAAACCAGUGAAAAAUCAUAAUUCAAACCGUAAAAAAUAAAAAUAAAAUUAAAAAAAAAUACAAACCUGGAAGAAGCCUCAGACUACCUGGUUAAUGCAGCUUUGUUGUGGGGUCUUUGGGCUGGCCCUGCAUCUCCUGCCAGGAGUUCAGGUGUCUCUGCAUUCUUCUGGCAAAGGAGCCUCAAAGGAGUCCGUACAGAAAAAUAUAGACAUGUUCAUCAUGACUUUCUUUCAUGUGUUUGUGAGAACCCUUGCUUUCUUUAGGUUUCACCUCAUGCCAUUCAAUAGUUAGAAGACUCCAGUAUGCGGUAGGAUCUGAAAAGUAUGUUUUUGAAAUGACCUAUUGAAGUAAUCUGGUUUUCUGUUCUGCUAGUGUUUUUCAUGCAAUGAAGAUUCCCUUGUAUUUUUAAAGACAAUAUUCCAAAGCCUGAUACUUCAAGAAUUUUUUUUCCUCAAUAGAUGUAUUACUUUUGUGUCUACAGUUAUAAUGUUACCUCCAUUCUUGGUGUUUACAUUGCAAAUACUACCAGACUGCUGUUUGAAGUCCUUUCUAUGAGAGCUCUUAGAUGUGCUAUAAAUGUGUUUAUACAGAAAAUUAAAUAUAAAUCUAUUACAAGGCAUUGCUCAGCUUGGAAAAUUCCCUGUUUUUCAUCACGUGGUUCUGGUAAUCUCAUACUCAACUGACUGUAAUAUUCCAUGUAGGAUCAUAUGGGAACUGCAUAAAUUUGAACUGUUAAAAUGUCCAAUUUGCACUCAGAAUGAAGAUGAACGUGCAACGCGAAGUUGUACUGAUCUCUGCAGCUGUGUUGCAAGCUGUUGUAUAAUUGGCUGUCUGCAAUCAUUCCUAGGUGUCCUUUGUUCUUCAUUCCUUGAGUUUUUUCAUUUGAUUUUGGACAUACAUGGGGAUGUUUUCUUCCAGAUGGAUUCAGCUGCUGAUGUAGUCUUCUAGUGGCCAUGCCUCUCUUGUGCUCAGCAGUAUCUGUGGAAAGCAUAAGUUUCCACUUCUCCCACACCCUUUUGGAAGAAUACAGAACUAAUUUGGUUGUCUUUCUGCCCGUACUUUUUAGGGAGGACUUAGACAAAAUCCCUAGGAAAGAAUCAUACUGUUCUGUGUAUCUAUCUUGUGAUUGCCAGGAGUGGGUGCCUCAGCGUAGACACAUCCAGGAAGGCACCAUGAGUCCACAACACCAGUAGGAAGGUCGUAGCCUUUUCUUUGUCUCAGCUGGAGCUCCUCCUUCAGCAUUUGAAAUUUUCUCAGCCCCUAGAGCAACUACUUCCUUUCUCCAUCCUGAAGAUAAAAUAAUUCCUACUCAAAAUGUACUCUAAUUGAGAUUUAUGUUGCCCUCUCCGUUUGCCUGCAAUACUGUGUUCACUGGCUUUACAGGUGAUGAGUGCUACAUUUGGAGAGGAGCACAGUGAGGAAUUGCCAGCAAGAGUCUGAAAGAUCCUUCCCUCAUGUUGGAUGUGAACAGCCUUCUCAGGCCAUGUCCACCUUUUCUUCACAAAAUUCCCAUCAUUAUUAUCAUCAUGGUGUUAAGUUCUUUGGCUACUGAUGACUUUCUUACAGUGUUUCCAACCUCUGCAGAAUGGCUCUGUGAUGAGACUGCUGCUAGGCAGGAGUACUGCUAGAAGGUCUUGGAGCACAUCCAGGCAAAAAGCUGUAGCUUGGGAUGACAAGGUCUAUGAACCAUACUUGAAUCUGUGAACUACGUUUGAUUUCUGUAGGCACAGGUCCAACAUCAGUAUAUCUUCAUGCUGUUUUGAUCUGAACAAAUUCGAAAGCAUUUUAAAAAGAGAUAUCCUUGCUUCAAGCAUCUGUGUUGAAGUCCGCUGAAAGAAAUGGAAAUCCCUUGACUGACUGUCAUGGACCAAAACUCCCAAAGGAAGAAAUAAGCACCACAUAUCUCAAGAGUACUUUGAUGUUCCAAGCUUUGCAGUUCAUCCUCUGGACUAAAGAUGCUUGAAGCAGUUUGGCUAAGGGUAAGGUAUGAUCAUCCAGGAUGAACAAAAGAUUCUAGAUGUGACUCAGAGACUCACCAUGGAGAGGACUUGGGUCACUUCAGUGGAAGGCAAGUGAAGUCUAGACAUCUGUGUGCACUUUGUGACCUGAGGAUCCUUGUAUUUUCACCUCAUUGUUUGCAGGUGUAUUCACAGAAUAGUGGGCAAAGGGAUUUAUGCUUAUCAACAGCAUAUGCACUGGAGGCAGUGAAAUCAUCCACUGUGUAGGUGCAUAUGAAGUAAAGCUUUUCUAGUGGUCUGACACACCAUACCAUGCUCUCACCAUAGCCAAAUUUUAAUAGAUCAAGGAAUAUGCAGAAACCAAAGAGUAGUAUCAUUGUUGCACUAUGAUUUGUUGUUGUUCAAGAUUUGUGUGACCUAUUCACAGCUCUUUCUAUAGUGGAAAAAAGACCAGUAUAAAACACACAAGGCUUGAGUUUCAUGCUUUUCUGACGCUGUGGCUGCUGGCUGGAUUUGGAAUAUGCAUCUCAGUUAAUAUAGGCCUAUCCUGGCCUAAGUUAACAGUCCUUUUGUCUAAAUAUUUAAUAUUUUAUUUCAUUUAAAGAGAGAGUUGCUUAAAAUGAUCCAGCAUGGCUGAAAGCUUUAAAUAGAAGUACACUUAAAAUGCAUGUUAUGUGGUUCAUAUACUGUUGAGAGAGGGAAGAACAUGAAGUGGGGCUUCAAGCAGUGAAUUUCACUGUGUUUUGAUGCUGUAUGGGUUGAGUGCGUGUCAUGAACUGAAGUCUGUUGUAGCCUUUUUUUAUGUAGAUUUUUCCUUUUCUGCUUUUGAUGAACCUUUUGAAAUUGUCUCCUGUUAAUUAUUAUUUUUUUUUUUUUUCAGAAGCGUGCAUAUGUGAAAUUUUGCUGUUUAAUAUGUCACCUAGAUGCUCUCUCAUUGUCUGCUGAAAUCAGUAGAAAGACUCUCAUUUCAUCAGUAUUUUGAAAAAUUGUUUGCAGUUCUUGCAUUUUUCUGAUUGCUGCAUUAUUUCUUUUAUACAAGUUUUUAGAAUAUAGCAGGAAACAGUGGUACCUAUGCUGGCCUAAAUUUAGUCAAUCACACACAGUGUAAAUUGCUGCCCACAUAAAAAUACACCAGAUAGACACAGCCCUUGGCUUCAUCACAGUGGGAUGCGGCACAGGAACGCAGUGCUUUAACAGUGCAUGAUGAAAACACCAAAAAGAUAGUAAUCUUUUAUUCUAUUUAAAGUAUAACAAGUAGCACUUCUGUUGGAGGAACUGAGAAGUAAUUACCAACAUACCACCUUUUCCUCAGAGUGACCAGAUUAAUAGCAGGUUACGGGGGCCCAGAGUCAGGGAAUUUAAGCCUUGUUAUGAUUUACAGUUUCUCUCUGUGUCCUAUAAUAUGCUUUCCCAUUAGCUAAAAGUGCCAUUUCAGGAAAUUGCCUUCGAGGGUGUUUUGAUGUAGGGUGAGGGUAAGAAAAGAAAGCAGUUUCCCUAUUCCACUACAGCUGUAGACAGGUACUUAGUAAGAAGCAGGUAUGUGAUUUUUCUUAUCUGUCCACUCCUUGUCACUUAUCAUUCAGUAGGAAGACAUCUUCAGGAAUCUCACUCAGGUUACUGCAUCUCGCCCUUUCACAGAUUGUCAGGGUGAAAACAGUGAAGAGAUGCCAAUAGAUCACAUGGUUACACUUUUCUAGUUUUGCUAGUUCCUAAAUUUUGUUAGGGACCGGAAUAUUAGCCUUAUUAAUAUUGGUUAAUUAUAGCUGAAUGGGAAGACAUUUGCAUCUUAUCCUCAGGACUGGUAGUAGUCCUAAGAUUGGUUUCCUUUUGUGCCAUUACAAUUCCUGACAGGACAACUCCUCCUGCUCUGGAAUGGACCAAUUGACAGUCCUGAAGGCCAUGUGUAACAUUAACAUUUCUUUAAGACCUCAGUAGCUUUGAUUUGUCAUUUGAGAAAUUUACUGUCUACUGUUUCAUGUUUAUUGAAUUUAGAAAAUCAUACAUGUCCAAUAACAAAGUCCCACAGGUGGACAUGUUUGGUCUCAGACUCUAGCCUCAAGUAUACUCUCUUUUUGUUUGGUUUUAAUCUUUUCCUGCUCCUGCAAAUUCAGGAAGAAAAUAUUAUAUUUUUUACACAAAGUGCUUUUAAUCCUAAAUGAAUGACAUUAUUGAGAGAAAGAAAGAAAUCUUGCAAAUGAAGCUCUGGAUAAAUUUGCAAGGGGAAAACACCAUAAAUAUCUAAUUACUUGUAGAGACAUCAUAAAGUAACACCAGAAGUGAAAGGCCAGCAAAGGCCUCAUAUGCUAUGUAUGAAAGCCAAGAUUUUUUAAAUUUUUUUCACUUGAGCUACUUGAUGUAAAUCUGGAAUAACUCAAUUUAAAAUGAGAUGACUGGAGAGAAAAUUUAUCCCUAAACAACUGGUGAAAUUCUGCUUUCCAGCUUUUUAGUGUACUUUCAAAAGUGAAGAUGCUCUCCAAGCAAUAAGUUUUGUACAAAGUCUGUGAACAGGAAACUUCAGUAAUGUUCUCAAUCAAAUAGAAUUGACUCCUGGAAAAACUGAUAUACAAAUUGAUUUUUAUUCUCACGUGACUCAUUACAAACAGUUAAUUUCCCCCCCCCCAUUAAUGCAGACAAACCCCACAAAGAGGGACUAUAGUGACUGUUGCUAGGAUUAGUGGGGGUUUUUGGAUUUUUUUUUUACUGUGUUUUUUUUUUUUCUUUUUUUUUUUUUUUAAUUUGUAUGUACAGAGUUCAUGCAAGAUUUUUUUGUUUUGGUAUAAUGUACAUUUGUAUUUUAUUUUGCAUAAAGUCUAACAAUUCAACAUCUUUAUUUUUAAGGGUAAUUCUAUUUGAUUCUUACGUCUGAAUGCAUCCUGGUUUUCCACACGACUUGACUUCAGAUAAAAAGUAGAUCAUUUGGUUUAGUAGUAGAUCUGGUCAGAGAUGAUGUGCCACAUUUUUAACUGGAUUUUAAUUUGACAGAUGUGUGCUUAGCCUGUAUCAUCUGACUGAUGCACGAAACAUUUCUUUCUCCAAAGACACCACAGAUCUUCUGCACCUUUUCCAUCUCAUUUAUGCACAUGUACAGAUAGUGCUGGCUAUUCAAAAUGAUAUCAAUAUGAAAAUGAUGACAACAGAUUUUUUUAUAAUCAGAAUGGGGCAUGACUGGAGCAAAUCAAGAAUGCUUCAAAUACUGUGUGCCAGACCUCCUUGACAAGAGCAGGUGGUUGAAGAGUCAACAACACGACAUAAGUGCUUUGAGUGUGAUCCGAAUGAGCAUAAUUGAUUCACUACCACAUGAUAUCCAUAUACUUUGUGGGGGCCUUUAUUCAAACAAAUGCUGCAUUGAGACAUAAAUCAGCAUAGAGGGAUGGUUCUACUAGUGCUGAUCAAUGAGAUACAACACUUACGUGUGAGAUGCAUGGUUCUGUACUUACUCAAGACAUCUUGCAGGUGCUGCCCUCUUUAACAGUGAAUAUUUGAAGAAUACAUUUUGAUGAAAAUGAAUUCAAAAGCACUUUUGAUUUUUGCAUUAAAUUAAUUUGCACAGUAUUUCAUCCUGCUACUUGAUUGUGAGUUGCAUGCUCAAUGACAAAAUCACCAAAAUGUAUCAGAAAAAAAUUGUGCAAUGAAAGUCCUAAACAUUCAUAAGCAACUAGAACUCAGCACAGAGAGAGGAAACAGCUAAUUAUUUGCCAAGAGCAAAUUAUGACAAAGCAACCAACUUCCUGCUAUGAUGAGGCAAUGAGUCCACAGACACAGGGGACACACAAAGUGUCCUGCCUCUAUGUUACUUAAGCUUUGGCAUUCUCUUGAAUUAUAUUCUUAUUGGAAAGCUAAGGAAAUGUAGCCUUGAGGGUAAAUGCAAAGCUGAAUGAAAAGUGAAACUUGGAGCAUAAUUCUCUAAUUUUAAUGUUUAAUUGAAAUAUACUGUCAAGUUUCUACGGGGACUUGUCCUUGAUCAAAUAUUGUUAAGUAUUCUCAUGAAUUAUCUGAAUGAGGGAAUAAUAUUAUAUGCAGUAAAUUUGCAUAUGACAAGAGAUGAGGGAUUCUGAACAUGUGGAAAGCAGAAUUAGAAUCCCAGAUGAUCUUCACAAAUUGGAGAGAUCAUCUGAAAAAAUUGGAUUAAGUUCAAUAGGGACAAAUGCAAAGUGCUAGACAGAAAUAAUCAAUUGCACAAAUACAGGAUGGGGUAACACAAUAGACAGCAGUUCUUUGGAAAAGAUCCGUGAACGAACGUGGAUCAAAUGAAGCAUGAGCUGAUGAAUUAUUAAAGAGCUAAGUGACCAGCUAGUAUGUAUAUGAAAACCAGAAUGCAGUCUGCAAAAGUAAUCUUCUAGUACUUUGUAUUGGUAAGGACUCUUAAGAACUGUAGCCAAGGAAAACUUAAAAAAAAUGGGUUAUUAAACACUCUAAAAGAAGACGGAAGGGCCAGGGCAAUAAUUAAGAUGUAAAAAAACCCACUGUUGUAAAGAGGAAGGGAGUAAUAGGUCUUUUUUUUAUUAAUGGUAGACAUAAUAAGAAAUAAAAAGCAAAAUUACACCGGGAAGAUUCAGAACAGUUAUUAGGAAAAUCUUUCUAAACAUGAACAUAACAAAGUCUGGGAACAUGAUGAAGUCACCAUCAUUAAGAACAGACAUCUCUUACAAGUGACACGAAUAUUGAUUCUGCUUUGAGGACAAAAAGCCCUUUCCAGCUCUAUUUCGUAUAAUUUUAUAUCAAGACAGGAACAGGGUUUGCCACUCUGUGUAUCUCAAAUAGUACCUAAUUCCCUGAGAUUUAUUCACUCACAGGAAAAAUUCUUAGUCAACAAGAGCAAUAUUUACCCACGUACAAGAACUAGAUUUGUUGAAGUUAUUGCUUAACAUUCUUGCCACAUGAAUUCUUUUGUUAAAUUUAUAUUGGCUUAUACCUGGAAUUACUUUAAGAUCGGUAUUUCAGGUUAGUACAAGUAUAAUAAAAUAAAUUCUGAAGUGAUUUUAUCUGCUUAGGGAAUAAAGGUGAGUAUUCAGUAAAAUUAAAUCUUGCUCAGUGGCCCAUGCAAAGUUUUGGGAAAAGGAAGGUGACAGACUCACACCACAUUUAGCUAUGUUUCUGCUGUUUGAGGCUGCAGCUGUCUCAGGAGACCAUGGCAAUAAGAGAUCCACGCAGAGCACUCUAUACUAUGGUACUGUGUACUGUGCCCAUGAUGCGAACCUCAACAUCGCUUCCAGACGGACGGGAGGAAUUAAUUGCAUAAAGCCAGUGCACUGACUUUUUAUCACCUGGGCUUUGUCUUCAGCUAUUUCUCCAGGGCAUCCUUUGCGCAAGGCAAAUGGGGUGACCAAGGGGCUGAGGGAUGAACUCCAUCAAUUUCAUUCCUGUGUCUAUGCAAAGCUCUCUCUUUAGAUAGGAACUUCAUGUUCCAAAGUGUUACCUGAGCACUGCUCUCAGUCUGUCAUUUAUUUUGGAUGAUAAUGAAAUGCUUAAAGGAUGUAGCGAUACAUAAAUAUUUGCCCUGUUCAAAAACAUAUACAUAUAUAUAUAUAUUUCUGAAUAUUUAGGGAAGUUAGUGAAAUUCUUCAUACCUUUCUGCUCCUUGAAGCCUAGAGUAACUCUUUUUUUUAUGGUGCUUCCUUCCAGCUUUUUGUACGACAUGGUACCAAAUUACUGUAGCAGAGAUUGGGAAACCUCUGUUUAGCAGGUCUGGUUUAUGGUUAUGUUAAAAAUAGAGGUGAAAUGUGUAACUCAUUUCAAGAACAAUUUCUUUGCUGAGAUCACAGGAUCAUUUAAAGCUGUCCAAACACUUAGCGUGUAUGUCCAGAUAGUCUGGAUUUAUUAUUAAUUUUUUUCAGGAAAUUUGGAAGUGGGACAGCUUACUCACUGUAGAUGAUUCAUAUAUUUAUGUCCUAGUUUGAAGUGGUUCACCACACCGUGGUCACAACUCCAGAAGUGUCAGAUGAUCAUCAGACAUCACUCCUGCCUAGCAAAGAAAUGCAAAUUUCCUCACCAUCAAGAAAGCUGGGCGGGGUAGUACUGAAGGGAUUAUUUCAUCGACUCCUGAAAUGCAAAACCUUCUGUGGCAGGAGAGAAAAGGCAGCCUUGUGACUGUGGCUCUGACCUGAAGUGUGACACUGGCUCUCUCCAAGUGUGAUUUCAUUCAGGUAGUGAGAGCAAGAGCUCCAUUAAAAAAAAAACAAAAAACAAAAGGAUUUGCCUUAAGCAGACAGGUAACCAAACCACCUUAUCAUUAGUAGGACUUCAGUUGCUUCCUCCCCUUCCACAAUCCCAGGCAGUGUGGCAGCCUGAUCUGUGAGUUACCGAUGCAGUUGUGACAGGGAGCAUGUGCGGUCAGAAGACAGUGGGGAGGCAAUGGCAUGGGGGAUGAAGAUGGAGAGCUACUGCCUGCUGUGAUCCGUGCGCGGAGGAAGAGCAAGACUGGACAGCAUGCUUCCUCUGGCCUUGUCACCUGCCCCCUUGCUUUUGUCACCUCAAGCAGUCUGGCACAUGGGCAGAGAAGCAACUUGAUGUGUCUGCAUGACCACACAACUUUGACCCUUCUUCAGUUCCUUCGCGCAGCGCGUAGAAGAAACCUCUUGGCUUGGGUCAUUUUAUGACCUAGUGAAAAGCAACACGUAAUUUUAUUUGAAAUAUCCAUGAACUUUAAUGAACUAAUUUCUGUCGAAAUAUCAACAACAUGUUGAACUUUCUUAGUUGCCCUUGUUUCAACAAGCAUCUCCUUAUUUUUACAUACUGGGUUAAACUCAGGCUUCAUCAAACAUGACUAGUAAAUCAAUUAUUUUAAACACCGGAGAGCUGCUUCACUUUCAACAAGUGUUUCCCAUGCUGAUGAACUCCUGCAAGCUCCACGGCUAUUGACCUGGGCUGGGAAGCCUUGUUCUAACUGAUAAUGUUGCUUAUUGUGAGAAUACUGCCUACGCAAUUCCUACUGCUUGGUGUGCAGAUUUGCAUUCCAAUACAUGGAGCGCUCCGUAAGGGUGCAUAGGGCUGGUAUGCUGGCUCUCCAAGCACAAUGGGAAUUAAGGAUAUGUGUCUCUGGGCCAACAAUUAUUUCCAUGUGCUUGGUAAAUCAGUGCAGGGAGGUAAGGCUUUCUUCUUGUUUAGUCUCUAUCACUGUCUUUGGUGCUAUAUUGCAUUUUAAUAUAAAACUCCCCCACCACCUCUAGCUCAACUGAGCCCUACGAGUUAUUUGCCUGGCUUUCAUUAAAACACUAGUGCAUGAAGAGCUGUAAGUUCACAGGGCUGGAGGGCAUCUCUGCUGAAGCUGGAAUUUUUGGUAAAUAGCUUGCUGCACUUUUGGAAGUGUUAAAAGUAAGCACCUAAUGAAUGAGUAUGUAAACAAUAGAGUUAGUUAAAUUACUCCCACUAUUCUUUUUUGCUAGUAGAAGUAAAUAGUAAAUGUUUUUUUCAGCCACUAUAUAUUGUUGGCAGCUCAGACUCCCUAUCAUACACGUGUAAGUUCAGAGGGUUAAAGAAUAUCAUAUUAGUGUGCAGUGCCCUGUCUAGCUACCAAAAGCAAUAGGUCUGUAGGCAGACUUAGGCUUUUCCUUCUGUCAGAAUAGACUGGGCUACAAAAAUAACAGUAUCAGAGCAACAGCUGGCUUAGUCACAUAAUGCUCUGCUAUAUAGUCUACCUUUCUUGUUUUCAUUUCGCUUUCCCUUUGUUUUAAAGACAAAAAAGGAAGCCCUUGGGGGAAAAGAUUUCCAAGUUUAUUGCUUGGCCAAAGUUAGUUGACUCCGACAUCAGCAACCUUUAUUAACUGGAGUUUCAACAUUUCUUUCAUGGAAUGUAACACUGACACUGGUACCUCUGUUCAGCCACAGGACCAGAACCAAACAGGCCCUGGUGCAGGGCUUUCUGAUGGUGCUUUUCCAAAUGCUGCAGUGUCAUCUGCCAUGGACUGUCCCUAGGGUUAAUAUAUAAAUCACUCCGUUCAGUCAUAAACAUGCCAUAGACUCUGCCCUUAGAGUGCCCAGUUAGGUAUUGCUCUGCACUGUGUGGCUUCUGUUUUAGAAAAUGAUUUGAGAUCACCGAACUGUUCUUCACAUGGGAGCAACAAGCAUUUGCCAGUGCCAGCUCUACUCUGAUUUUAAAUCUGUGACCUGAAUCGGGGACUGAUGGACAGGAAAGGGGGAGAGCUGGACCACGCCAUGGCAGCUCCUCUGCCCGGUGACAGGUACUCCUACUUAUCCCCCUCCUGCCACACUGGACUGUGUUGGUUGAGGGCAGCGGUUAUUGGGCCAGCUGCACCUUCCAUCUCAUUCCAGUGCACUGUGCUGGAAAAGAAACAGCCUUUUUUAACAAUGAGGGUGGCAAAACACUGGAGCAGGUUGCCCAGAGAGGUGGUAGAUGCCCCAUCCAUGGAGAUAUUCCAGGCCAGGCUGGAUGAGGCUCCGAGCAACCUGAUCUAGCUGAAGAUGUCCCUGCUCAUGGCAGGGGGGUUGGACUAGAUGACCUUUGAAUGUCUCUUCCAACCCAAACCAUCCUAUGAUUCUAUGAUCUCCUGAUCAGCCACAUCAACACAUGGAUCAAGAUAAAGUUGUAGUGAAGAAAAUACUGCCUGCACAUACAGAGCAACUGAAAAAAUUAUUACUGAAAAGGACACUUUUUAAUUAAUGAUGCUGGCCCCAAAUUAGACUCUAUUGCUUUUUGCUAUUAAUAAAAGGGCCAUUUCUAUUGCUUCCAUCCUUUGAUGGAAGAGCACAUAAAAAGAUCACAUAAAAGUAGAAUGAAAUGAAAUGAAAUGAAAUGAAAUGAAAUGAAAUGAAAUGAAAUGAAAAAUAACACUAGAAAAUUUAUCCAAGGAGCCUAUAAUACUGUAUAUUGGUGAUAGAUGACUAAAUAUUUUUAAGUCUUCAUAGUAUUAUGCUGCUCAGCACAGUGUGGUACACUGUCUUCUUUCUUUAACUUUUUAUGCUGAGCUAUAAGAACAGCUGUCUGGGUUCCUAAAGCAGCAAGUUAAACAUUUUGUCUGUAAGGUCACUUUUGUUAUCACAUAUGGUGUUGCAAGGAAAUUUCCAACUUAGUUUCAAAAUAGCUUUGGGACAACAUAAGAUUCAAGCCAAGAAAGCCUCCUCCUCCUUUUCCCAGUUUCUGUCAACAGCUGAUCAAGGGUCGGCAACCUAAACCCAGCUCUUGUGUAGCUGGCUAGCUCAUUUUUUUAUUUCUCGAAGGACAAAAGUAGAAUUCACUGUUAAGAUAAUUGCCUUCCUUUUCUGCAGUGAUUGAGGUCUAGAAACCAUCUUCUUAGGUGCAUCAUGUAAUCUGGAUUUUUUCUUUCUAUACUUUCUAUACUUGUUUUAGGCAUGCAGCAUAUAUUUCAGUUAAAACAAGCACUGCUCCCAACAUGUCUGGCUUGUUCUUUUGACACAGUUUCUUGAACAGGAUUUUACUUGCCCAUUAGCUGUCAAAGGUUUGGAGGACAGAUGAAUAUUCAUUUGGAUAAGCUGUACUGUGUUAGAUACUUCAAGUGAAGCUCACCUUUUGUAAUAACCAGUUUGUGUUUUUUUCAUAUUAUAUCUAAUGUGUUUGCUAUAAAUUUGUCCUUAUAAGUUUUUUGUAUGCCUGCAUCUGUGUCAAAAAUAGAAAUGGGAAUAUAAAUUGUG